UGGGGCGUGGUGUAAUGGCAACACGUCGGUCUCUGGAACCGAAUAGUCUAGGUUCGAAUCCUAGCGCCCCAGCCA
rnacentral:tRNA from 1 species